rnacentral:rRNA from 1 species
UACGUAGGUGGCAAGCGUUGUCCGGAAUUAUUGGGCGUAAAGCGCGCGCAGGCGGUCCUUUAAGUCUGAUGUGAAAGCCCACGGCUCAACCGUGGAGGGUCAUUGGAAACUGGGGGACUUGAGUGCAGAAGAGGAAAGCGGAAUUCCACGUGUAGCGGUGAAAUGCGUAGAUAUCUGGAGGAAUACCGGUGGCGAAGGCGGCAUCCUGGACCAUUACUGACGCUGAGGCGCGAAAGCUAGGGGAGCAAACAGG